rnacentral:rRNA from 1 species
AAACAUGUCCUUUUGUUUAUAAAUAUAAGGUCUAACCUGCCCAAUGAUUAAUUGAAUGGCCGCGGUAUAUUAACUGUGCUAAGGUAGCAUAAUCAUUUGUCUUUUAAUUAAAGGCUAGAAUGAACGGUUGGACGAGGUAUAAUCUUUCUUUAAUUUAAUUGUAUGAAUUUAAUUUUUUAGUUAAAAAGCUAAAAUUUAUUUAAGGGACGAGAAGACCCUAUAGAUCUUUAUAUUUUAUUUUAUUAUAUAUUUUGGUUGUUAUUAAUUGUUUUAAUAAUUUAAUAUAUUUGAUUGGGGUGAUUAUAGAAUUUAAAUUAACUUCUAUUUUUUUUAUUCAUUAAUAAGUGUUUAUUAUGAUCCAUUUUUAUUGAUUAUAAGAUUAAGUUACCUUAGGGAUAACAGCGUAAUUUUUUCGGAGAGCUCAUAUCGAUGAAGGAGUUUGCGACCUCGAUGUUGGAUUAAAAUAAGUUUUAGGUGUAGGAGCUUAUAAACUAGGUCUGUUCGACCUUUAAUUUUUUACAUGAUCUGAGUUCAA